rnacentral:rRNA from 1 species
CGGAUUGCAGGCUGCAACUCGCCUGCAUGAAGCUGGAAUUGCUAGUAAUCGCGGAUCAGCAAGCCGCGGUGAAUACGUUCCCGGGCCUUGUACACACCGCCCGUCACACCAUGAGAGUCGGGAACACCCGAAGUCCGUAGUCUAACCGCAAGGGGGGCGCGGCCGAAGGUGGGUCCGGUAAUUGGGGUGAAGUCGUAACAAGGUAUC